AGCCAGAAAGGAUAGUCUUUUGAUAGUCUAAUAUUUAAAUUGUAAACAAAAGAUAAGAAUAUUUAUUUUAUUUUUCCUUUUUUUUUUUUUUUUCGUCUGAAUGAUAUUGAUAAAACUUCGAAGGAUACAACGACCGGCGGAAAAAGAUAAUAUCCCCGGUAAGAUAAGUCGGCGGAAAAUGGAUAUAUCCCCGAAGACAAGAGCCCAAAAGAGGGAAACUAAUAAACAACCGAUGAUACAACGAUAAGCUAAAACUUAGAAAACAAACCUAGAGUCCUCCAAUGAGUGAAAUGACAAGGAACCACGAGAAUCUAAAGAAAAAAAUCUGAACUAGGAGCUAAGGGACCAACGCACAAUUGCCUUAUUUGACUUGUGGAGAGGAACCGAAUCAAAACCCAUUGUAUAGCUCUUCUCUCUGCUGAAAGAAAUGAUAGAGCUUUGGAUAGUAUUAAACGUUCCAAACCAACCUCGAGAAGACGAUAACCUCAAAACUGGUAGAGAUACCGCCUAUGAUGGCAAAAAGUGACCCACAAACUCCAAAACGAAGCAGAUCUUAAUGAGACAGAAGAACCAACCAAAGAAAAUGAGCCUAGAGCCAAUGGCAAAUAGCAACGAGUCCGUCUCUUCACAAGAAGAGAUUUUCCAGGACAUUCGAUGCCAAACACAACACCACGAACAACUCAGAUCCAUCUCUCACCACGAACUGACCGGAAACGCCACCAAGCCUCGCUGAGCAGCCAAACCAAACCAGAAACGACUUCACAUCCCACCUGGGAGGGGGCCGCCGCAAAACUCGAGCAAAGAAGCUGCUCCAAGAACAGAAACUUCACCCUCUUCCUCACGAACAAGUAAAAACCCAUCGCAAAAAAGAGACUCACCGGAACGAGUAAAAGGCUAGAGAAAGAAGAAAAGACAACAAAUUACACUAAAGAGGCACAACGCCGGUGCUAAAGGAGCCACCGGACGUUGGCCGAACAUGAGCGGCGGCUGGUUUGUUUUCAGAAAAGAGAGGAGAGAGAAGAAAGCAAAUUAGGUUUUUUUGUCUAUGUUUUGC
rnacentral:lncRNA from 1 species